rnacentral:rRNA from 1 species
GACGAACGCUGGCGGCGUGCUUAACACAUGCAAGUCGAACGGAAAGGCUCCAGCUUGCUGGAGUGCUCGAGUGGCGAACGGGUGAGUAACACGUGGGCAAUCUGCCCUGCACUCUGGGAUAAGCCUGGGAAACUGGGUCUAAUACCGGAUAGGACCUCUCUCCUCAUGGGGUUUGGUGGAAAGUUUUUCGGUGCAGGAUGAGCCCGCGGCCUAUCAGCUUGUUGGUGGGGUAAUGGCCUACCAAGGCGACGACGGGUAGCCGGCCUGAGAGGGUGAUCGGCCACAUUGGGACUGAGGUACGGCGCAGACUCCUACGGGAGGCAGCAGUGGGGAAUAUUGCACAAUGGGCGAAAGCCUGAUGCAGCGACGCCGCGUGAGGGAUGACGGCCUUCGGGUUGUAAACCUCUUUCAGUAGGGACGAAGCGCAAGUGACGGUACCUGCAGAAGAAGCACCGGCUAACUACGUG